GUCCUUUUGUACUUCAUAAGAAUAAUGAUUUGAGUGUUCACUCCCAUGCCUGAGAUGUGCUUCUCUCCAACCUUGGUAUGACAUUAGCACAUUACCCAUAUGAUA